GAUUAAAUGGCUGAAUUUUAGGCGAUAGAUUGUAAAUCUAUUUAUGGGAAUAUAUCUCUUUAAUCA
rnacentral:tRNA from 1 species